UCUGUGGAUCUUACUCUUUUAAUUUUAUAUUUUUAAACCUUAAAUCUGUAUAAUUUUCCUUUCACUGGUAGGCUAUCCUGGUCUAAAUAGCACGACCUUACCUCAUAAAACAAAUAAAAAAUUACCUUUGAGCUAUUGCGUAGCUGCUGUUUUUAAACCGUUUUGCUUCGUUCUUCUCGUACCAGAUUUCAAUGACUUUUAAUUAACGUUAAAGCUGAACAAAGGCUGCAAAAUAUUUUUUUUCCUUUUUUCUUUUUUUUUGGGGGGUUGGGGUGGGGUGGGGUUUAUCUCCUGAGAUAGGAAUUCUCCGUAUAGCACUGACUGUCUUGGAAGUCACUCUGUAUACCAGGCUGGCCUCGAACGCAAGACACCAACUUGCCUCUGGCUUCGGAGUGUUGGGACUAAAGGCGUGUGCGACCAAGGCUAGCUGGCAUUAAUUUCUAAUACCAUCUGACAGUCCAUCCUUUGAGUGAAAUGGUGUACCCCAUAGGUUCAAGUAUUUGAAAGGUUGAUGUCUGUCGGGUAGCGGUUCUGUGGUACCUUUAAGAAGGUGGAGCCUUGCUAGCGGAAGUCCCACCCAGUGGGUGGGGCUCCAGAGUGGUCAGCUGUUCCAGCAUAGCCGACCUGAUUCGCCGUGACACCUCAAGUGGGCACCCAGACGUCCUCUUUCCUACCUGGAUUCUUAGCAGGUAAGUCCAAGAAACACUAGCACCAGGCCCAGAAAACCAUGAGGACACACAGGGUAUUUGCUUGAAGUCCCCAUCUGCCCCUAGCACAUACUUCUGUCUUGGACGUGGUGAGCUGAAGAGGCUCUGGAAAGGGAAAAGAAAGAUGGAGGACCCUGGCUUUGCUCAGGGUCUCUAAAAGGGCUUCUGCUUCCCUUGGCAAUAGGCUCUGUGCCCCUAUUCUCUCCAUACCCCAUGUCAGGCUGACGGGCUCAGGCAGCUCCUCAUGCUCCACACGGCAUGAGUAUCUCUGCUCCUCUCCAGAAGGCACCACCACAGCUGCCUAUGAACGGCAGGGUUCACUACAGAACUGCCGGGUAGGCAGCCUGACCUUGCAGUCAAACGUGAAGGCAAAGUUGGGGUUCAGUUUCUUCUUCCUUGAGACCUUAGUCUGGUUCAGUCCAGAGGAGAAACUCAUGCAGUCACCUCCAGCUUCUGCAGAGGCUCCGAUUAUUAAUACAACCUCCAGCCAAAGGCUGUGAAUGCAGCUCCCUGUCCCCUCACACUGAGGUCAGCCUCACCUGAGCUUUCCCCUCAGCAGAGCCCUCCCUUCCUCCCCACCUGCCUUUCUGUCUUUGACUCAUGACCUAUUUGUUUUUUAUCCAUUAAUACAACAUUUAUUGUGCAUGAGUGUUGGUCUGCUGGGUGUGGGGAAGUCGUCAUCCUUCACAAGAUGAAGAUGGCUGCAUCAUGACAGAGAUUAUCACCAAGUUGGUAUUCACACAUCUCAGCUAAGGCUCCUGGAUCUGUUCACUGGAAAUCACAAAGUUAGAAGAGAAUCCUUCAAGGGUCAGAACCCAGAACAAAGCAAUUUCCAUCUCACAAAUUCCCAUAAUGUAGUUUUGAAAAGAUUUAUUAAUUUUGUCUAUGAACUUUGUUUUUCUGUAUUUAUUUGUACCAUGCGUGAGCCUGAUCUCCACAGGGCAUUGGAUGCCCUUGCGCAGGAGUUAUGGAUGGCUGUGAUCAACCAUCUGCCUGCUGGGAUCGAGACAUCAUCUGCAUUAGCACCAAGUGCUCUCAACCCCUGGGCUAUCUCCAGACCCUGGACCAGCUUCUAAAAUAAGCAUAAAUCUAAAGUAGACUCAUCCCAUCAACCCUGAAUCUUCUCUGGAGGCCACACUGGGAUCCCCAGAGCCAGGGAAGGACAGGGGCAUGGGCACAGCACAGAUCCAACAGAGCCAGAUCUGAGAUGAGAGCCUGUGGCUCCCUCCUCUGUGUGGAUCCUGCAAUCCGGGGUUAGCCGGGAAAAGAUGGGAAAGGUGGGAAUGUUGUUGUAAUAAUAUAAAAAUAAAAUAGGUAUUGUUGUCUA
rnacentral:sRNA from 1 species